rnacentral:rRNA from 1 species
CAAUAGCGUAUAUUAAAGUUGUUGCAGUUAAAAAGCUCGUAGUUGGAUUUCUGGUGGGAGCGAUCGGUCUGGCGCUUAGCGCGAGUACUUGCAUCGUCUCCGGCCAUCCUUGGGGAGAGUCUGUCUGGCAUUAGGUUGUCGGGCAGAGGAUCCUCAUCGUUUACUGUGAAAAAAUUAGAGUGUUCAAAGCAGGCUUAUGCCGUUGAAUAUAUUUGCAUGGAAUAAUAAGAUAGGACUUUGGUACUAUUUUGUUGGUUUGCGCACCAAAGUAAUGAUUAAUAGGGACAGUUGGGGGUAUUCGUAUUCCGUUGUCAGAGGUGAAAUUCUUGGAUUUACGGAAGACGAACUACUGCGAAAGCAUUUACCAAGGAUGUUUUCAUUAA